GUGCCGGCCUCCAUUGUCUCCGAUCGUGAUAAAGUUUUUACUAGCAGUUUCUGGAAGAAAUUGUUCACGGAAAUUGGCACUAAACUCUGUUACUCUACAACCUACCACCCACAAACGGAUGGCCAAUCGGAGCGUGUAAACCAACGCUUAGAGCAGUAUCUCCGGUGUGUUGUUCAUGACAGUCCAGCUCGAUGGAAGCGCUGGUUACCAAUGGCUGAAUUUUGGUACAAUUCCUCGUAUCACACCUCACUCAGGAACACCCCGUUCAAGACUCUGUAUGGUAUGGAUCUUAAUUUUGGUACUAUGCCAAUUGAUGUUGGUGAUCUUCCUACAUGUCUUGCGGAAUUGGCAGCCGAUCGUGAGGAUUUUUUGGCUAUGUUGCGUGAGAAUUUACUGCGUGCUCAACAACGAAUCAAGUCGCAAGCAGAUAAACAUCGUCAAGAUCGAGAGUUUGCAGUGAGUGAGGAGGUUUUACUCAAGUUACAGCCCUAUGCACAAUCAUCCUUGGUCAAUCUUCCAUGCCGCAAGUUAGGUCUCAAAUAUUUUGGGCAAUUCAGAGUUACUGCACGGCUGGGUGUUGCUGCUUAUCGUCUGGAUUUGCCCGAUACAAGUCCGAUUCAUCCUGUGUUUCACGUUUCGCAACUAAAACCCUUCACUGCCAACUACUGUGUAAGAAACCGGACAACUUUGAAGAAUAGAAGCGUCUGA
rnacentral:rRNA from 1 species